ACGAAACAGAGGAAAGCAUUUCAUUAUCUCUGCUGAUGACCCGGAAUAAUCUAACCUCUGAUUUACAGUAAAAACUACAAAAAGUUCAUUGUGCAGUUCCACUAUACCUGCCCUUGAACGUUACUUCAGGAUGUCUGGAGCAAUACAGAGUGGAUCUGGACACAUCUCUGUGUGCUGCUGGCAUGUCAAGAUUUGACUGCUGUUACGCAACCAAAACAACAUUGUGCUUCUGAGGUGCAUUAGCUUUUUUUUUUUUAACAUAAAAACAGGGCACAGUAUAAGUAGCUGAGCAUGCCCUGGCUUGAUUGUCAUCAUCUUGCAAUUCAGAAUGAAGGCUUUUUGUUAACUUUGUACAUUUGCCUGUCACUGCUUGGCAAUAGUGUGGCCUCAUUCCAAGAAACUACGUGGGAAGGAGAUAAUGCUUGUGUGGGCAAAUAUCUGCCAAGUUCACCCAUUUUCUUAUUUGGUCAUCAUCUUUAGGCUUCAAUAGGGACACGUUCAUAGAUAGACUUCUCUAAGGGAUGAAGAUGCCCCGCAGUCCCACAUGAACUGAGACGCCAGGUCAGCUCUGUUCAGACAAAACCACUGUGCGACUCCUGUAUCUGAUUAAAAUGGCCAAAUCAGAAAGUCCAUUCCAACACAUGGUGCCACUUGGCUUUGUUCUGCAAGAGAAGGGGAUGAUAUGACUGUUGUGUAAAUGCUGCCCCACCUCGACCGAGUUGAAUGACCAACAGUGUAACCUGGAUUCUGAGAACCGGACUGAAGCUCUAGUAUGAAUUCAGUGCUCUACGCAAAGAGGCUCUGUGUUUGUGUAAUGUUUGAACGGGGGCGCAAACUACAUCAAAGCCACCCGCCAUGGUCUGUGCUUCAUUAGCAUUCUAGGUGGUUGCCAUCUGCCUGUCCUGGAGCAAUUGCCCAAUAUCAAAGCAUCAGUGGAAACAUCCUUGGAAAUUGACCACCCUUCGCUGGAACUAUUAAAUACGGACAGUAAAUAAAUACUGUCCUUCGCAGGUGAACGCACCAUUUCAAGACUAUUCUUCCAUAUAUGUAAAACUUCAAUAAAAUAAGCCUGGAAUUCAAGCAAACACGAGAGCUCAUGCUUGAUUGCACUGGCAAAAUUGCUUUCAGGUCUCUCUGACUGCUUUCAGAGAACUUUUGUGGAUGUUGACACGCUCCUUUAAAGGCCAAAAUUAGCCGUGAGGUUUAAUCUAGUUUAUUUAAUCUGGCAUUUAUAGCCUCAAAUCCCCCUCCACCCCUACCCCAUACCUACCAAGGAGGAAAAAAUCUACCAAAGAAAAAGGCUCUUUUGCCAAGAAUAACGAAAAACCAAGAUCGGAAGACGUCCAUCAUCAUCAUCAGCUUUAGUGACUAUUCUGAAGAUAUGCAUCUGCUGAGUGCUCUCCAGAAGUUAGUCAUUUAGCAGGUUUACUCUCAUCUUACGCGGCAGUAAACUAAAUCAAAAAAAUGAGUGUCUGUGUCACUUGUGGAUUUACCGUGUGAUGGCCACGUCUGGCAGGCAACAGCAGCAGCAGCAACAAGGCCCCGUGCUGAUCUUCAGUUUAUAUUUUCCUGCACGCUUCAAAAACGCCUCGUCGCCACCCACCUCUUCCACCAUCAGGAUCAGGAACUUGAACACCA